CAGUGGGUAGAAAGAGAUUAAGUUAUUGUCUAAAGACUUAAAAUCAAUAGAAAGGAAUGUCUGGGUUAAGAUAAGGGGUUGUAGAGACC